ensembl:lncRNA OSGEPL1-AS1 OSGEPL1 antisense RNA 1
AGAGCUGGCUGCUGUUCCGCUAGCGAGCGGCAUGCUUAGUGAAGAAAAGCUUAAAGGCCGUCUUUGCCCAAAACGCUCUCUGUGCGCACCUGCAUUUCCCCCAGAUUUGCAGGUGAUGAGAGUUCUGUAAAAUUACACAGCUAGUGACUGAUCCAGCGGAGGCCGAAUACAGAUGGAGUCUCACUCUGUUGCCAGGCUGGAGUGCAGUGGUGCCAUCUCAGCUCACUACAACCUCCACCUCCGGGGUUCAAGCGAUUCUCCUGCCUCAGCCUUCCGAGUAGCUGGGACUACAGGUGCCUGCCACCAUUCCCAGUUAAUUUUUGUAUUUUUAGUAGAGAUGACAUUUCACUAUGUUGGCCAGGCUGGUUUUGAACUCCUGACCUCGUGAUCCACCUGCCUCAGCUUCCCAAAGUGCUGGGAUUACAGGCAUGAGCCACCACGCCUGGCCCAAAUCCUAUUUUUCAAUAUUUAUUUCCUAAUUAUGUCCUACUAGGUUAGGUUUUAUUUUCAUUUGUUACAUAUUUAUUGGGUUAUUUCCUUUAUG